rnacentral:rRNA from 1 species
AUGUCGCCGUCGUCCUCGGCGGCGAAGGUCGUCGCCUUCGUCGGCGCCGACGGGCUGAGCGCCGCGCUCGCCGCUUCUUUCACCCGCUCUGGCGCGAUCGUCCGCUUCUACAUCGACCCCAAGGCGGAUGGAUCCGCGGCGACGGCGCUCGCGGAGCAGGGCGGCGGCGUCCGAUGCGCCAGCCCUGCCGAAGCCACGCGAGAUUCUGCGCUAGUCGUUGUGCUCAGUGACGCCGAUGGUGUAGAUGAGUUGUUCUUCGGAGCUCAGGGUAUAGUGAAAGGAUUGUGCAAAGAGGCCAUUGUAUUAAUUCGAUCGACGUUGGUGCCUAGUCAUCUUGAGAAGUUGGGGCAGAAGCUUGCAGAUGAGAAGAAGGGUAUCUUCCUUCUUGAUGCUUACAUUUUUAGUGGUUUAUCUGAUGAACUGAAGCAAAAUAUUGUCGUUGUUGCAUCUGGGAGAAAGGAUGUAGCAGAAAGAGCUGGGCAAUUCUUCUCCGGUCUUGACAAAACCAUUUACUUAGUCGAAGGUGAAUUUGGCUGCAGCAGCAAAAUUAGGUUGGUUAACGAUUUGCUGGAGAGCAUUCAUUUUGUUGCUUCUACUGAAGCAAUGUUUAUUGGUGUUCGAGCUGGGAUUCAUCCAUCAAUUAUCUACGACAUAAUAUCAAAUGCUGCAGGAAGCUCAAGGAUUUUUGUGGAGGUGGUUCCGAAAAUUUUGAGUGAAGAUCCAUUGCUUAUUGAUUUUCUGAAGUCACUAAAGAAACAUGCUAGCUACGUGAUGGAUACAGCUAAAGCAGCAACAUUCCCUCUGCCACUUCUAGCUGUUGCCUAUCAACAAUUAAUACAUGGUUCUUCAGCAGUAAUUGGAGAUGAAUCCGCUUCACCGUUGAAGGUUUGGGAACAACUAUUUGGAGUAAACAUCAUAGAUGCUGCCAGUCAACAAAUCUAUGAUGCAAGCGAAUUAGCUGACCAGCUUGUUAUGGCCUCUAAAGCAGCAAAGAGGAUCGGCUUUAUUGGUCUUGGAGCUAUGGGCUUUGGAAUGGCAUCUCAUUUACUAAAAUCAGGGUUCUCCGUAACUGCUUAUGAUGUCUACAAGCCAACACUGGCCAGGUUUGCUGCUUUAGGUGGAUUGACUAAAGAUUCUCCUGAGGAAGUAUCAAGAGAUGUGGAAAUCCUUAUCAUCAUGGUUGCAAAUGAAGUUCAAGCUGAAAGUGUCCUAUAUGGAAAUGCUGGNNNNNNNNNNNUUUUGCCAGCGGGAACAUCCAUCAUUCUGUCAUCUACAGUUUCUCCUGGCUUUGUGACUCAACUCAAAGGAAGAUUGGAAGCCGAAUGCCGAGAGAUAAAGUUGGUUGAUGCUCCGGUAUCUGGUGGUGUCAAGAGAGCAGCGGACGGGACACUAACUGUAAUUGUUUCGGGAACAGAUGAAGCUCUGCAUUGUACGGGUAGAGUUUUGUCAGCACUAAGUGAGAAACUAUAUCUCAUCAAGGGAGGAUGCGGAGCUGCGAGUUCUGUUAAAAUGGUGAACCAACUUCUUGCUGGGGUCCAUAUAGCCUCAGCAGCUGAAGCAAUGGCAUUUGGUGCUCGAUUAAAUUUGCGAACAAGAAGGAUUUUCGAAAUUAUUCAACAUGCAAGAGGUUACUCGUGGAUGUUUGGAAACCGUGUGCCACACAUGCUUGAUAAUGAUUAUACACCUUUAUCUGCGGUGGACAUAUUUGUCAAGGAUCUUGGUAUAGUAUCUCGUGAAAGCUCCAACUUGAGGAUCCCAUUGCAUGUCUCUAGUGUUGCUCAUCAGCUGUUUGUUUCAGGCUCUGCUUCUGGAUGGGGUCGAUAUGAUGAUAGUGCUGUUGUAAAGGUAUAUGAGACAUUAACUGGGGUAAAAGUAGAAGGAAGGCCGCCCAUGCUUAAUAAAGAAGAUGUCCUGCGUUCUCUUCCUGUUGAGUGGCCAGAAGUUCCAAUGGAUGAUCUUGUUUCCUCUGCAUCUCAUGAUAGCAAAAAGGUUCUUGUAGUUUUAGAUGAUGAUCCAACUGGAACUCAAACAGUUCAUGAUAUAGAGGUCUUAACUGAAUGGCCAGUUGAAGCCCUCACAGAGCAGUUUCUGAAACUACCAACCUGCUUUUUUAUUUUGACAAACUCCCGUUCAAUGACUGCUGAUAAGGCUGCACUGUUAGUAAAAGAUAUCUGCAGAAAUCUUGAAGCUGCAGCAAAGACUGUCCCUGGUAUUAGUUAUACAGUGGUCUUGCGAGGUGAUUCCACUCUACGUGGCCAUUUCCCAGAGGAAGCUGAUGCAGUUGUUUCAGUAUUAGGUGACAUGGAUGCUUGGAUAAUAUGCCCAUUCUUCCUUCAAGGUGGGCGGUACACUGUUGAUGAUAUUCAUUAUGUUGCAGACUCUGAAAGGUUGAUUCCUGCUGGUGAGACUGAGUUUGCCAAGGAUGCAGCUUUUGGCUAUACAUCUUCCAAUCUCAAACAGUGGGUUGAAGAAAAGACUAAAGGAAGGAUUUUGGAGAACCAAGUUUCAUCAAUUUCCAUAAGUCUUUUACGUAAAGAAGGACCAGAUGCAGUCUGUCAGCUUCUCUGCAGCUUGGAGAAGGGCUCUGUGUGUAUUGUCAAUGCUGCUAGUGAGAGGGACAUGAAUGUCUUUGCUGCUGGAAUGAUCCAGGCUGAAUUGCAAGGAAAGCGGUUUCUAUGUCGCACAGCUGCUAGUUUUGUGAGUGCUAGAAUUGGAAUCAAGCCAAAGCCACCUAUCCGCCCAAAUGACCUUGGAUUAAAAAGAAAUUUAGCGGGAGGCCUCAUAGUUGUUGGUUCUUAUGUGCCAAAAACUACGAAGCAGGUCGAUGAGCUUCGCUCACAAUGCGCACAAUCCCUCAGAGUGAUAGAGGUAUCUGUUGAGAUGAUCUCACUGAAAUCAACUGAGAUAGACCAAGAAAUCAGCAGAAUUGUUGAAUUGGGAAAUGCUUAUAUACAGUCCGGGAGAGACACACUAGUCGUCACCAGCCGCCAACUCAUUACUGGAAAAACUCCUGAAGAAAGCUUAGAGAUUAAUUACAAAGUGAGCUCAGCACUAGUAGAGAUUGUGCAAAGAAUUGAUAGUCGACCCCGUUACAUCCUUGCAAAGGGAGGAAUCACUUCAUCUGAUCUUGCUACAAAAGCUUUGGAAGCUCGGCGUGCCAAAGUAAUGGGACAAGCUUUAGCUGGUGUGCCUUUGUGGCAGCUUGGCCCUGAGAGUAGACAUCCUGGUGUCCCCUACAUUGUUUUUCCUGGUAAUGUUGGUGAUAACAGUGCUCUUGCAGAAGUGGUCCAGAAUUGGGCUUGCCCUUCUAGAAGUUCAACAAAAGAACUUCUCCUUAACGCGGAGAAGAGUGGCUAUGCAGUUGGUGCUUUCAAUGUAUAUAAUCUUGAGGGAAUUGAAGCUGUAAUUGCAGCUGCUGAGGCUGAAGAAAGUCCAGCUAUCCUGCAGGUUCAUCCCAGUUCCCUGAAGCAAGGUGGAGUUCCGUUGGUAGCAUGCUGCAUUGCUGCAGCAGAACGAGCCAGCGUACCUAUCACCGUCCAUUAUGAUCACGGGGCUGACAAGCAUGAUUUGCUUGGAGCUCUUGAAAUGGGAUUUGAUUCAGUCAUGGUGGAUGGUUCCCAUCUAACUUUAGAAGAGAACAUCUUAUACACAAAGAACAUAUCUUCCCUGGCUCAUGCGAAAGGUAUGCUUGUGGAAGCUGAACUUGGGAGACUAUCAGGCACUGAAGAUGGCCUGAUAGUUGAAGAAUAUGAAGCGAGAUUUACUGAUAUUGCUCAGGCUGAGCAGUUUAUUGAUGAAACUGGUAUUGAUGCAUUAGCAGUAUGCAUUGGGAAUGUUCACGGAAAAUAUCCUCCCAGUGGACCGAACUUGAGACUUGACUUGCUAAAGGAACUUCGUGCAUUAACUAUGAAGAAAGGAGUUAGCUUGGUACUUCAUGGAGCAUCUGGCCUCCCUCAUGAACUUGUAAAGGAGUGCAUAGAUUUGGGGGCGAGGAAAUUCAACGUGAAUACGGAGGUCCGCAACAGCUACCUGCAGUCACUCAAGAAGCCAGAAAAAGACCUGGUUCAGGUCAUGGAGUCUGCCAAGGAAGCAAUGAAAGCUGUUGUAGCAGAGAAGAUGCGCCUCUUCGGAUCUGCAGGCAAAGCCUGA